UUUUCUUAAACAAAAAGAAAAGGAGACGGAGAGAUUUCUUCAUUGUAUUCCCCCCUCCCCCCUAUUCCUUUACCACCCAACCAAGUUAAGACUUAAGAAGACUGAUUUUCCUUCCCUUCUUUUCCCUUCACGAAGUCAAAAGCACUAGAGUUUUUACUUUAUUAAUUUAUUUUACUUAAUAAUAAUCAAGCACCUACCAAUGGUUUUAUUGUAAUGACAUUUUUUUUUGUUUCCUACUAAUUUAUUGAAAACGAGAUUCGUACAAACUAAAAGUUAACUAAUUUUUUUCAAAGAAAUAAAAGGAUAAUCAAACAAGUGCCUGGAAUGCAUUAGAAAUCGAUAACCUGAAAGGCUGAGGCAACAAAGAUGCCGGGACAGUUUUUUUGUGUCCGUUGUUGUCGACAUGUUUCGUCGACAGAUUGGCGGGGUGUUUCGUUUUCAAACCAAACAAAUCUUACCUCGGAUACGCCAAACUAAAUAUAAUAUAUAUAUAUAUAUAAUAAAGAACACAAAGCAACUCUCUCUCUCUCUCUCUCUCUCUCUCCGUCUCUCAGCUCUCAUUUCUCUCUUUUGUGGGUUUAGGGGUUAUCAUGUGUUGUACAGUUCGAUCCCGAGAACACGCUGGCCAUUGCUUACGUCGCAUGGUGAUUCAGUUCCCUGAGAGAUGGUUUGUGCUCAAAAGGUUCAGAGAUAAUAAUGAUGCCUGCUGUAAGGGUUGUGCUUUGUUCCAACAUAAUACAUGAAAAAUUUAUCGCUUAAAGGAACUGCAUGUUGGAAUUUAUGCAUUAAUAUACUUCAGGUCUGGAAUAGGGGAAUGAAGCUAUUGGUCCUAAUAGCAUAGCAAUAUAUGUUUCAUAUUUAACAUUUUCUGUCAAUUAUUUCUCUCUUUUCAAAUUCUUUGGAUAAUAUAUGCCGUGCUGCACCUUCUAUUUUUAUUC